CUUAGUAGUUUGGAGUGGACCAGGUCUGCCGCAAGGGCCACAUGGCGGUCACCUGCGGCCAACAGUGCUGACGUCCCCAGCCCUGUUUCUCCAUGCCUCUCCAUUCCCUUUGGGGAGGCAGGGUUUAUGAAGAGACCUGAGAUUCUUAGCCACUUGUUCGGGGCAGGAAACCCUUCGCCUUGCAAGGGACAGUAAUGAUGACGUUCUGGCUGUCACUCUGCCUCCUCCAGAGGGAACAGCACAGCCCCCACCAAGACAGGGGUUCUCUCUAAAGCGGACUGCCUCUCUCUCUCUCUCCUCCCUCCUCCACCUGCUGGGGCAGGACUCCUGGGAUGGAGAGCAGUGAUUUAGGAGGCUGGGGGAGGGGAGUGAAUGAAACAGCCCAAGAUUGAUCUUGGAGAGCCUGCUGCCCUCUCUUCUCCCCGAAAUGCCCACCACCAGGGCUAUUUUAGUUAGAGACAGGUGUGCAGUUUAUACACAAUAAAUCUCCCCAUGUUCCUCAAAAAAAAAAAAAUGCCAUUUUUUUUAGAACUCCUGGAGAAUUCAUUUCACGUCUCUUUGUUCCACAGUAACCAUGCUCCUAAACUACUCAGAAUCCUUGGCAGGGCCAUGCCAGUCCCCCUUGAGAGCAGCUGAGAGCACUUCCUGGAAGACAGAUUGGACAGAGUCCCUUUCCGGUGGUGACGACCUCCCCACGAGAAUAUGCCCCUUGCAAAGGAUCUCCUGCACUCAUCCCCGUAAGAGGAUAAGAGGAAGCACAAGAAGAAGCACCUAGUGCAGAGCCUCAACUCCUACUUCAUGGAUGUGAAGUGCCUGGGAUGCUACAAAAUCACCACCAUCUUCAGCUGCACACAGACGGUAAUUCUGUGUGUCGACUGCCCCACUGGCCUCUGCCAGCCGAUGGGAGGAAAAGCAAGGCUUACAGAAGGAUGCUCCUUCAGGCGGAAGCAGCACUAAAAGCUCCCUGAAUCAAGAUGAGUGGGACACUAUCCCAAUAAACAGAUUUUGGAUACUACUACUACUACUACUACUAAUAAUAAAAUAAUGAAUAAAAAUCUUUCAGAGUGGGACACUAUCCCAGUAAACAGAUUUUGGAUACUACUACUACUACUAAUAACAAUACUACUACUACUACUAAUAAAAUAAAUAAAAAUCUUUCAGAGGAAUCAUAUUUUGAUAAGCCAUUUUUCCCUCUAGCUCGGGACAGAUGACUGAUUCUUUAGUGGAGCUCUAGGGCAGUACUUGGCUCACACAGCAGGCCACCUGAUAAACCAGCAGAAUGGUGUUCACACCACAGUGGCAGGUGUAACCUAAGACCAAGAGCAAUGCUGGCUUUUUUUUUUUUUUUUAAGAUUUUACUUAUUUAUUCAUGAGAGACACACACAGAGAGAAAGGCAGAGACACAGGCAGAGGGAGAAGCAGGCUCCAUGCAGGGAGCCCGACGUGGGACUCCAUCCUGGGACUCCAGGAUCACGCCCUGGGCUGAAGGCGGCGCUAAACCGCUGAGCCACCCAGGCUGCCCAAUGCUGGCUUUUUUAAAAAAAUAGAACCAUCUUCCCUGCACAUGGUCCUGGUCAAUUAA
rnacentral:lncRNA from 1 species